rnacentral:rRNA from 1 species
AGUGAACGCUGGCGGUAGGCCUAACACAUGCAAGUCGAACGGCAGCACAGUAAGAGCUUGCUCUUACGGGUGGCGAGUGGCGGACGGGUGAGGAAUACAUCGGAAUCUACUUUUUCGUGGGGGAUAACGUAGGGAAACUUACGCUAAUACCGCAUACGACCUACGGGUGAAAGCAGGGGAUCUUCGGACCUUGCGCGAUUGAAUGAGCCGAUGUCGGAUUAGCUAGUUGGCGGGGUAAAGGCCCACCAAGGCGACGAUCCGUAGCUGGUCUGAGAGGAUGAUCAGCCACACUGGAACUGAGACACGGUCCAGACUCCUACGGGAGGCAGCAGUGGGGAAUAUUGGACAAUGGGCGCAAGCCUGAUCCAGCCAUACCGCGUGGGUGGAGAAGGCCUUCGGGUUGUAAAGCCCUUUUGUUGGGAAAGAAAAGCAGCAGGUUAAUACCCCGCUGUUCUGACUGUACCCAAAGAAUAAGCACCGGCUAACUUCGU